UACGGAGGGAGCUAGCGUUGUUCGGAAUUACUGGGCGUAAAGCGCACGUAGGCGGCUUUGUAAGUUAGAGGUGAAAGCCCGGGGCUCAACUCCGGAACUGCCUUUAAGACUGCAUCGCUUGAAUCCGGGAGAGGUGAGUGGAAUUCCGAGUGUAGAGGUGAAAUUCGUAGAUAUUCGGAAGAACACCAGUGGCGAAGGCGACUCACUGGACAUGUAUUGACGCUGAGGUGACGAAAGCGUGGGGAGCAAACAGG
rnacentral:rRNA from 1 species